rnacentral:rRNA from 1 species
UACAGGGGGUGCAAGCGUUGUUCGGAAUUAUUGGGCGUAAAGCGCGUGUAGGCGGCUUUGCAAGUCGGGUGUGAAAGCCCUCAGCUCAACUGAGGAAGUGCGCCCGAAACUGCAGAGCUUGAGUACCGGAGAGGAUGGUGGAAUUCCCCAAGUAGAGGUGAAAUUCGUAGAUAUGGGGAGGAACACCGGUGGCGAAGGCGACCAUCUGGACGGAUACUGACGCUGAGACGCGAAAGCGUGGGUAGCAAACAGG